rnacentral:rRNA from 1 species
UACGGAGGGUGCAAGCAUUAAUCGGAUUUAUUGGGCGUAAAGGGCGCGUAGGCGGGCAUAUAAGUCAGAUGUGAAAUCCCGGGGGCUCAACCCCGGAACAGCAUUUGAAACUAUAAGUCUAGAGGGUAGGCGGAGAAAACGGAAUUCCACAAGUAGCGGUGAAAUGCGUAGAUAUGUGGAAGAACACCGGUGGCGAAGGCGGUUUUCUAGCUUAUCUCCU